GACGGAGGGGGCAAGCGUUGUUCGGAAUUAUUGGGCGUAAAGGGUGCGUAGGCGGUGCGGAAAGUCGGGUGUGAAAUCCCCCCAGCUCAACUGGGGAAUUGCGCCUGAAACUACCGUGCUCGAGGAAGACAGAGGUACGCGGAACUUAGGGUGGAGCGGUGAAAUGCGUUGAUAUCCUAAGGAACACCGGUGGCGAAAGCGGCGUACUGGGUCUUAUCUGACGCUGAGGCACGAAAGCUAAGGGUAGCGAACGGG
rnacentral:rRNA from 1 species